UACGUAGGGGCAAGCGUUAUCCGGAUUUAUUGGGUUUAAAGGGUGCGCAGGCGGAAGAUUAAGUCGGUGGUGAAAUUUUGCAGCUCAACUGUAAAAGUGCCAUUGAUACUGGUUUUCUUGAGUGUGGAUGAAGUAGGCGGAAUUUGUGGUGUAGCGGUGAAAUGCAUAGAUAUCACGAGGAACUCCGAUUGCGCAGGCAGCUUACUAAACCAUAACUGACGCUCAGGCACGAAGGCGUGGGGAUCAAACAGGAUUAGAUACCCCGGUA
rnacentral:rRNA from 1 species